rnacentral:rRNA from 1 species
AUUGAACGCUGGCGGCAGGCCUAACACAUGCAAGUCGAGCGGCGCGGCGGACGGGUGAGUAAUGCCUAGGAAUCUGCCUGGUGGUGGGGGAUAACGUCCGGAAACGGGCGCUAAUACCGCAUACUAUCAGAUGAGCCUCGGUCGGAUUAGCUAGUUGGUGGGGUAACGGCUUACCAAGGCGACGAUCCGUAACUGGCCUGAGAGGAUGAUCAGUCACACUGGAACUGAGACACGGUCCAGACUCCUACGGGAGGCAGCAGUGGGGAAUAUUGGGCAAUGGGCGAAAGCCUGAGCCAGCAAUGCCGCGUGUGUGAAGAAGGUCUUCGGAUUGUAAAGCACUUUAGGUUGGGAGGCGUUACCAACAGAAUAAGCACCGGCUAACUUCGUGCCAGCAGCCGCGGUAAUUC